rnacentral:rRNA from 1 species
AGUGAACGCUGGCGGUAGGCCUAACACAUGCAAGUCGAACGGCAGCACAGUAAGAGCUUGCUCUUGCGGGUGGCGAGUGGCGGACGGGUGAGGAAUACAUCGGAAUCUACUUUUUCGUGGGGGAUAACGUAGGGAAACUUACGCUAAUACCGCAUACGACCUACGGGUGAAAGCAGGGGAUCUUCGGACCUUGCGCGAUUGAAUGAGCCGAUGUCGGAUUAGCUAGUUGGCGGGGUAAAGGCCCACCAAGGCGACGAUCCGUAGCUGGUCUGAGAGGAUGAUCAGCCACACUGGAACUGAGACACGGUCCAGACUCCUACGGGAGGCAGCAGUGGGGAAUAUUGGACAAAGGGCGCAAGCCUGAUCCAGCCAUACCGCGUGGGUGAAGAAGGCCUUCGGGUUGUAAAGCCCUUUUGUUGGGAAAGAAAAGCAGCAGGUUAAUACCCCGCUGUUCUGACGGUACCCAAAGAAUAAGCACCGGCUAACUUCGUG